GUCUAUGUAAUUUAUGUAAAAUACCGGUCUUGUAAAUCGGAAAAAGGUUUCUCCUCCUAGACU
rnacentral:tRNA from 1 species